GACGAACGCUGGCGGCGUGCUUAACACAUGCAAGUCGUACGGUAAGGCCCUUUCGGGGGUCCACGAGUGGCGAACGGGUGAGUAACACGUGAGUAACCUGCCCACAACUUUGGGAUAACGCUAGGAAACUGGUGCUAAUACUGGAUAUGUGCUCCUUCUGCAUGGUGGGGGUUGGAAAGCUACGGCGGUUGUGGAUGGACUCGCGGCCUAUCCGCUUGUUGGUGGGGUAGUGGCCUACCAAGGCGGCGACGGGUAGCCGGCCUGAGAGGGUGACCGGCCACAUUGGGACUGAGAUACGGCCCAGACUCCGACGGGAGGCAGCAGUGGGGAAUAGGGCAAAAUGGGCGCAAGCCUGAGGCAGCAACGCCGCGUGCGGGAUGACGGCCUUCGGGUUGGAAACCGCUUUCAGCAGGGACGAAGCUUUUUGUGACGGUACCUGCAGAAGAAGCACCGGCUAACUACGUG
rnacentral:rRNA from 1 species